GCGGUCUUAGCUCAGUGGUAGAGCUUCUGCCUUCCAAGCAGAGGGUCGAGGGUUCGAACCCCUCAGGCCGCUCCA
rnacentral:tRNA from 1 species